UAUUCUACCCCACCGCAUAGGAGUGAUGAAUUUAAUAAGCAAAGCCCACAAAUAAUUAUUCAGCCCAAAUUCGCAUCCCAAUUCAAUCCGACAUGUCAGCCCAAUUUAAAAGCCCAGUCCAAUUGAGAAAAGAAGUACUACUAUAAUUCCAAGCCCAAACCAUGCUGUUUUUACAUAGAUAACCAUGUCCAGUUUUAACAACCACGCGCCACUUUCCCAUACUCCGGCCGGCCACCACCGCCGUGCGCCGCCACUAGCUAAUCCUAGUCGGUCCAACUCUGCAACUGCCUUCUGUACUAUGCAUUUUAUAUUGCAAUAUUACUUCUUUUUAUCAAAAUUUGUUGAUCAUACAAUAAAUCAAUGCUCCAAAUUGGUUCAUAUUUAAACUUAGGUGAAAGUUUUCAUUCGAUCAUCUUCACCUUUGGUGUUUUGAUGCAUGAAAUUGUGACUGGAAAGAAAAAAAACACAGAUUCUACCAUUUUGAUAGAGGUUAACCAUAGUUGAUAGCUAAAAUCUAUAGUUUUUAUCUGUUUUUUCAACAUAAUGAACUGCAUUCAAAUUAAGUGAGACAUUCAUGAACAUUCAAAUUAUAACUGGUUGAUCUGCCGAUGCUCUAAAGCAAGAAUCCUAUUCACAUGUUAAACUAUCCUUUUUUGAGUUUUCAAAGCUGUGUAAUUACAUGAAAGCGUAAAAGAAAGUGGAAUUAGUUCAACAAACAAUCUUGUAAUAUUUUUGAAUCCAGAAUGACUCAAGCUGCAAGUAAAUUUAUUAAACACAAAAACAAUACUUGAAAAUAUUUUCGAAGUUUCUGUGCAUUAUGCAUACCUAAAAUGCGAGCAGAAAUUCAAAAACUUGAAAAAAAGGAUGAAUUAUUUAAAGCCCCAAUUUUCUAGGGCAAACGUUCCUCAUCACGAAUUGUUGAAACACAAAGCGGCAUUCCAAGAUUUACAAGGAAAAUAAAUAGUGCUUAUCUCGAAUUAGUCUGAGGUGAAUCGGAGGAAUUGAGAUCUUGAUCGGAAUGGAGCAUUUUUCCGUCGGCGGGAACGAGGCGAGGAAUUCCAUCCACAAUCGGGUAAGAAACGCCGAUAGAAUCGCUUACGAGUGAAUUUGUUUUCUCGCACAUCCUUAAGGGCUGUUUGGUGAGAGGGCAGACGAGAAUCUCCGCCAGUCUGGAGCUUAUUCCGGCGGCGGCGCUUUUCAGCAGCACUCCGCUCCGUCUCACCAUCUCUGGAGCUUAUUCCGGCCUUGUUGACUGCCCCAAGAAGGAGCUGCUGCACUUUAAGCUACGUGUAGUGAUAAACGUGAACGCCAAACAGCACUUUAUCAGCCUACCACCUAUUUUUUUCAAGUUUUUUCUUUUAUGCAUUCUUUUCUGAUAGGAUUAAUAGUGCUUUUGAGAUUAAAUUUGUAGAUACACUUUUCAUUGUUGAUGGGAUAAUACACAAUGAAUUAUAAAGGUGUUUGGCUAAGCUUAUUUUAAAUAGCUUAUAAGUUCUUGGAGCUUAUUUUCUUGCAUUUGUAGCACGACAAGCAUCCUUGAAAGACGCGGAGAUGCAUUCUCGGCUCACUUUGGACUUGAAGGAGCACAUUUGGUCUCGUUUUGGUCCGAUUGAGCCCUAGAAAAUUAUUGUAAUUUUUAUUUUAUUAUCGUAUUUUAAUUAUGUCUUUAAUUUUAUUUUAAUUAUUGUAAUGUAGAAUUUUUAAUUUUAAUGAAUUUUGGAAUUUUAAAAUUAAAAGUGUAGAAACAUGAAUUUUGUGAAAAUGAGGAUCUAAGCACCCUUCUAAGACACAAUGCAUUGGAGAUGAGUGUGUCUUAGGUGGGAACCAUCAUCUAAGACACCCCUCUAAGACACUUGUAUUGGAAAUGCUCUGAGGAAGUUAAAAAUGCUGAAAUUACAAUGAAACAGUAAGAAACUAGAAGAAAUGCUAAAUCUAACUUUUACGUAGGUAGAUUAUUUUGAACCAACUGUUAUAGGAGUAUUAGAUUUGAAAUCUUCUGUUUUCCACUCAACAAGAAGGGGGAGAAUAAGUACGUAUUUUAAGGGUGGGAUCGACAAUAUUCCCAUCUGAUCUGUAUGGGCAAAUUAUAUUUCAAAUAUUCGAUCAAUGGAAUCCCGAAAAACUCCAUUACCCAAUGCCAAUGGUAAGGGAGUCCAUUGGAUCAUUGGUGGGCAAAACUGUAAAUCUAUCUGAAUUUAGGCGACUAUAUAAAGUCCAUCUAAUGCCCAUAAAUUACCCAAAAAUUAAAUCUGAGGAAUUUGGUUAGGGCAUCCUAUUGAUCUCUUUUAUUCGCAGCUCAAUUUUGCGAUCACAGCGAAACCCUAACCAUACAAUUCAAUCAUGUCGACCAAGCAAGGUAAAUUGUUCAUCGAAUUACGCGAAAUAGUAUCUUACAUAUGAGAUGAUAUAAUUUUGUUUUUCAGUAUUGUUGUUAAUGAAGAAGAUGAUGUUUUUGCUGAUUUUUUUGUUCUGUCUUUUGCUGUUGUGGCCCUGCAUCAGGUGGAAAAGCCAAGCCUUUGAAGCAACCUAAGGCUGAAAAGAAAGAAUACGACGAGGUACUAUUUUGCGGCAAUUGUCUGUUAAAUUUGGGAAUUACGACUAUUUGGUUUUGUUUAUGGGAAAUAACUCUGUUUUCUGUUAUGUGUGAUUUGUGGUUGCUUGCUGUAUAAUUUUAUAUGCAGCAAUUAUGGUAUUGGGGGUGUAUCUGCUGCCUCCUUUAAAAAAAAGUUAUGUUAUGAAUCGUGUAAAAUUCUCUGAGAUAUUGCCUUUUCAUCGAAAUUAUAUUUGUUGCGUAUUGUUGAGAUUGAACUUCCUACCCACCUAGGGCUUGAUCUUAGAACAAAUUUUCUCGCAUGUUUCUCUCUUAUUUUUUUUAUUUUGAUGUUCAAGAGAUGCAUAUUAAAUUUCUAAUUGUAGAUGUAAUGGUUUUUGAGCUGUAUACUUUUAAUUUUCCAGAUACCCUGCUAUUGAAAGAAAAAUAUUGGAAUAAACACAUGCUUUAUUCUCAUAUUGGAUUCAGAUUGUCCCCACUCUCUUCUCCAUUUUUAGUUUGGGAUUAAUUUUCUUAUUUUGUAUUUUGAUUUGCAGACUGACAAGGCUAAUAUUCAAAAGAAGAAAGAAGAAGAGAAGGUAAACUAUCUUCUCCACACUGCCAUGCCCUAUGAUUGGUCACUAUCUCGCCGAUAAUAAUAAUAGUAAAAAAAAAAUUAUGUUCUUGUUAGGCUCUUAAGGAGCUGAAGGCAAAGGCCCAGCAGAAAGGGGCAUUUGGAGGCUCUGGUCUGAAGAAAAGUGGCAAGAAAUGAGUCCUGAAACGCAGCUCGUUGCCUGCCAUUGUUUUUCUGUUUGUCAUUUUCUGUGUAUGCUAUUUAAACAUGUUAGCUUGUUCCUGCUGUGAUGGUUAAUGGGGCCGUGAAAGACUUGUGGAUAUAAGAUUGUAUGUUCAACUGUUUGAAUCUAUGAAAUGGUUUAUGUCUGAAGCGUAUCAUUGUUCUGUUUUUUAUUUUUAUUGAGUAGAUUUUUUAUGAGUUUUUCUGCUAGUACCCGAUGAUCUAUCCAUCCACUAUCCUAAGUUAUAUUUUCGAGUCAGGUUCAGAAAUGGUUGUUGUUACUAGUGUCAAUAAUAAUGAUUAAUAAUGUAUUUUUUUUUUGCAAAAAUUUCAUUCAUAUUAUCAUUUAAUAAUGUUUACUUUUGCCAUUAAUUAUAUAUAUAUAUAUUAUGUAUACGUAAUUAAUUUAGUUUAAAAAUAAUUCAUAUUUGAGUUAAUUAUGAUUUAUGUGCAUAUAUAUAGAUAAGGUAGUAUCUAACUUUAAUACUUCCUCCUAUUCCUUUUCGUGCGCAUCCCAACGAAAUUGAGUCAUUUUUCGUUUUGAAAUAAAUUAAAGUUACUNUUUUAAACUCUAUAGAUAAGGUAGUAUCUAACUUUAAUACUUCCUCCUAUUCCUUUUCGUGCGCAUCCCAACGAAAUUGAGUCAUUUUUCGUUUUGAAAUAAAUUAAAGUUACUUUUUCAUUCACUCUUUCUCUUUUUCGGGUAAAUAUCAUGAAAACUCCUGAAGUAUACCCGCUUUAUCAAAAAUACCAUGAAACUUUUAAAAUAUUCUCUAAACCCUCAAACUAUCAGGUUUUUAUCAAAUAUAUCCCGCAUCUAUUUUCCGGUCACUAGAAACGUGAUGUGGCUCACCAGAUGUCACAAUGUAAUUUAUUUUCUAUUUUUUAAAAUGCAAUGGCAAAAACGACGUCGUUUCGUACCAUAUCAUUAAAAAAAAUACUCUAAAAUAUAAAAUUCACUUAUAUCGUAUUUGAAAUUCACGCUAAUAACCAAGAAUUAGAAAUAAACACGAUAGAAGAAUAACUUCUAUCGUAUUAGCGUCAAUUUCAAACACGAUAGAAGUGAAUUGUAAAUUUUAUAGUAGAUUUUUAAAAAUGAUAUGGUACGAAACGAAGUCGUUUUUUGCCAUGUCAUUUAAAAAAAAUAGAAUAUAAAUUAUAUUGUGGCAUCCGGUGAGCCACAUCGCGUUUUUGGUGACCGGAAAAUAGAUACGGGAUAUAUUUGAUAAAAAUCUAAUAGUUUGGGGGUUUAGAGAACAUUUUAAAAGUUUCAUGGUAUUUUUGAUAAAUCGGGUAUACUUUAGGGGUUUUCAUGAUAUUUACCCGAAAAAUAGAGAAAGUGAAUGAAAAAGUAACUUUAAUUUAUUUCAAAACGAGAAAUGACUCAAUUUCAUUGGGACGCGCACGAAAAGGAAUAGGAGGAAGUAUUAAAAUUAGAUACUACUUCAUCUAUAUAUAUGCACAUAGGGAAGGGCUAAAAUAAGAGCAUUUCUUAAGAUAUAAAAUAAGAAUCAUUUUCAGCCCUUAGAUCAUCAAGAUCUACGGUUGAUUCAUAAUCCUGUUGGAUGAAUUUAUGGUCCUGGGUUCGAAUCCCAAAGGUAGCAAAAUUUUAUUUUUCACAAUUCAAACCUUUAUACAGCGAAUUCAUACGUGUUCUACAUAAAAUUCAUACAUUAAGAAUUGCUCUUAUUUCUUAUUUUAAAAUGUGCUCUCACGGUAGCCCACCCCUAUGCACAUAAAUCAUAAUUAAUUGGUUAACUCAAAUAUGAAUUAUUUUUAAACAAAUUAAUUACGUAUAUAUAUAAUUAAUGGCAAAAGUAAACAUUAUUAAUGAUAAUAUGAAUGAAUUUUUUGCAAAAAAUAAAAUAAAAAAUACAUUAUUAAUCAUUAUUAUUGACACUAGUAACAACAACCAUUUAUGAUCAUAAAAAAUUGUUCUAAUCUAUUUUUAGUAUUUAUAGGUCUCUUUCUCCAUUUACUAUUAUGUGGGCCUCAUUAUCCACUCACUAACUUAAUUAACUUUUUUCUAUUUUUCUUCAUUUGUGCGCCCCUUUCUUCACUCAAUAAAUAAACAACACAAUUUUUCUUAAAACUUGUGCAUUCCUCCCUUGGGAUAAUAUUUCGUGGACAGAGGGAGUAAUAUACUAUUAUAAGGAUUAAUUAUUUGUAAAUUCAAAAUAUUUUCAAAAAUUUGGGAAUUGCAUUUGAGUUUUUUUUUUCCUCAUGAGAGAUAACUUUUUUUUGCUUUCUAAUUUUGAUCCGAACAUCGGUUUAUCCAAUUUUAAUGUGACAUGGGCAUUGGAAAAUGAUACGCUGGAUACACCAAACACAUCAUAUGACCAAAUGGAAAGAUUAAUAGCUUGUAGGUCUAAGAUGUUCUCAAGAAUUCGAGAAAUGCACUUGAUUCUUUUUUUUUUUUUCCUUCAGGAUACAUAAUCCCAAUUUUAAUUUGACAUGGUCAUCGGGGUUGAUACGUUGGACAUUGUAUUAUUAAACAAAUAUACUACGAUCUAAAAGUAUUCUAAUAUAUUGCAUUUUUUGGUGUCAAUAUUUUUAGGAUUAUUUUUUAUUUUUAUCUAAUUUUAUUUUCUUAUUUUAGUUUAAUUUUGUAGUAAUUGUUAAUUAUGAUUGAUCAUAUCCAAUUAGCGCGAAUUCUUAUUCUUUAGCAUUUAUUUUCAAAUUUUGAAGUUAAUAAUUUAUUAUUUCAUAAUUAGGUAUAAUUUUAUAAAACUUCAACCUUUUAUAAUGAAAUAAUAAAUAAAAUUUAUCAUUAUAAAAAAUAUUAUUAAAAUAAUAAAUUUAAUAGUACUUCUUAAUUAUUUUGUGUAGAGACAAAGAAAUAAUUAACUUUAUACAUUUAAAUGUGGCUUAGCAUUCACGGUAUUUUGGAUAUAUAUAAUUAUUUAUACGCGAAAAGUUUUCAUAUAGUAAUUCUUAGUAUUAAUUAUAAAUUCUUCAUAUAUGGUAAUAUUCACGCAAUAUAUAAUUCAUAUAAUUCUUAGUAUUAAUUAUAAACUCUCCACAUAUGGUAAUAUUAACGCAAUAUAUAAUUACUACUAGGGAUAGAAGUUGAGUUCGAAGAGGAGAAGUAGUAGAACUUACCUUAUAUUUGUACCCUAAAUCUGAUCACCGAUACUUUCUUGGUAACAAAGCUAUCUAUAUAUAACUAGACCUCUCGUCUCUUAAUUACUUAAUCUUUUACAUUAUUCCUUCUCAAGAAACAAAGAAAAAUAUGGCGUUGAAUUUGUGCACCAAGAAGGCUUUUCGAUUUUCCGAUUACUGCAGGCGGAGGAAAUCCGCCGUCAAAUCCAAGGUUGUCGCCGCCUCGCCGCGAGAGGACGGCGUUAACCUCCGCUUCGUCCUAAAAAAGAGGAAAUCGUGCUCGAAUGAGGAGGACGACGACGUCAAUCUCCGCUUCGUCGACGUUAAAAAGAGGAAGGUGGAGUCGAAGAAUCACGGCGUGCUGCGAGAUUCCGAGUUGGAAUCUAGGGUUUUCGGCUUCGCAAGCGCUUCCGGCGCGGUGUCGAACUAUUCCGGCAAGAUGCAGGGGAUCGGGGCGAGCCUGGCGAGGAUCUGCAAGAGCGAGGACGCGCUGCGCGACUGCGGUCGGCUGGACAACUACGAGCGGCUGGACGGGAUCAGCCGCGGGGCAUUCGGGGCCGUCUACCGCGCCCGUGACAGGAGGACCGGCGAGAUCGUGGCCAUGAAGGACCAGUUCGACGGCCUGAGCGUCCCGACGCUGCGGGAGAUCGACAUCUUCAAGUGGCUCGGCCCCCACCCCCGCAUCAUCGAGUUCAAGGAGGUGGUGGCGGACGACUCCGACGGCGUGUACAUAAUGAUGGAGUGCGCCGAGGGCGACCUCCAGCAGUACAUGGAGGAGCAGGAGGAGCGGCUGGACGCCAAGGCGAUGAUGCAGCAGUUGCUGGAAGGGGUGAAGUUCCUGCACGAGAAGAGGGUGAUGCACAGGGAUCUCAAGCCUGCCAACAUCCUCAUCGGCAGCACGGGCUGCUUGAAGAUCUGCGACUUCGGGCUGUCGCGGCGGAUUGAUGUGGCGGCGGGGAUGUACGCGGCUCAGGUCGGGACCAAGUGCUACAGGGCGCCGGAGCUGCUCAAGGGGGUCAAGAAGUACACGGAGGCCGUGGAUAUGUGGGCCGUCGGCUGCGUGAUGGCGGAGAUGUUGUUGAGGUGCGGUGGCGGCGGUUCGGAGGCGGGGCGGCUCGAGACCGUGUGUAAGAUUGUUGGUGGUGGUGAUAAGGGUUAUGAAAGGCUUCGGAGUGAGUUUUUUCCGGAGGAGGCGGUCAGCGGUGCUGGUUUCGAUCUUUUGAAGGGAUUGUUGUGUUGUGAUCCGAGUAAGAGAAUCACGGCGGUCGAUGCUCUCAAUCAUGUUUGGUUCUUGGAGGAUUAGUGAUUUAUCAGUAUAUAUUGCAUGUGGCUAGCUACUAAAGGAAUUGAAUUUCCUUAUAUCAGAUCUGUUAAUUCUUUGUUUUUUUGAAAUGCAAAGAUAUAUAUAUAUAUAUUACAGCAGAUUAACCAAGCUAUGUUAUUUUGAGCAAUAUUAGUCAUUAUAUAUAUGUUGUGUGAUUCUCUGAGUUCUCCCUAAUUAGUAUCGUUAUUGAUGAUCAGUCGUUUUCUUUUAUUCUUCUUAUUAUCAUUUAAAAGGUAUUUUUUUCACAACUUAAUUACGGUUUAGAGAGCGAUGAAUUCAUAAUUUAAGAUCAUUGUUUGCAAUUCAGAAUUAUAUAUAUGGAUUCACCAUUAGGAGUCCAAGCUAUAAAUUCGUAAAAUUAUUUGAGUUUUAAAUUAUGGAUUCACGAUUUAGUUGUUACCCUUUUUAUUUGGUUAGAGCUAAUUAUGCCUUCAAAUGAAACCAAGGGGGGUGUAUUCAUUUCGGAUUUUUAAUGAUUUCUGCAGACUUUUAAAAUUCGGGUGUAUUAGUUCAAGACUUUUAAAAGUCUUUUAAAAUCUGGGUGUAUUAGUUCAAGACUUUUAAAAGUCUUUUAAAAUCUGGGUGUAUUAGUUCAAGACAUUUAAAAGUCUUUUAAAAUCUGGGUGUAUUCGUUAAUCUAUGAAAUUUAAAGAAUGAAUGACUUUCAUUGAUUUCGUUCAAAAAAUAGGCAUCAACAAAUCCGACGACGCACCACGAGAAUUCACAAAUCUGCCAAAAUCACGCGCUCGCUGGGUUCCAGCGCCCGCGGCAAAGAAGCCAGCGGCCGCUGGACCCAGCGCUCGAGCCUGACGAAUCCAGCGGUCGCUGGCAUGCAGCGGGCGCUGGGCUUCAGCGCUCGGAGAAGCCAGCGAUCGCUGGCAUGCAGCGCUCGUUGGGCCCAAAUCACCUGCUGAUCCAACGCUCGCUGGGCCCUAGCGGUCGCUGGGCCCAGCUAAUACUUUAUAAAUACUCGUAUAGCCGUCAGUUUCUUCCUCACACCAAAUCACGAUCCAGACUCGAGAAAAAACAGAAUUUUAGGGUUCUGCAUUAACUAUUAUCAAGGUAUUCUCUCAUAAAUCUUGUAUCUUUAUACUAUUUUGGUAUUCAAUUUUUCUUAGUUAAUUGUAUUUCAAAAUAGAAAAGAAAAAUCAACUCACUAGAUUACAAAAUUUAGAGAAGCUUAUGCAUGCUUUGUUUGACAAAAAUAAUAUACAUAUUUUUUAAUUAUUAAAAGUGGCUACAUAUUUACAUAAAAUACAAAGCCCAAAACAGUGGAAAGCAUGCAGGUUACGCAUAUAUGCAUCUGAGCGCCGUCUCAUAGGCCGUGAAGACGGCGCCGUUGACGACAAAUGCCCGCGCGACGGCCGUCCCCAGGCCUCUCCAGAGCACGCUAUAGCCUUCCCGCCUGACACUGGUGGCGAAGCAGUCGAGCAUCCCGGUAUAGCAGGAGGUGGACUGCGCCUGGAUCCUGGUCUUGACGACGUCCAAGGGGUAGCAGCAGAUCCAGCUGGCGACGCCGGCCAGCCCCCCCGCGACCACCAUGGUGCGCGGGGUCUCCCCGCCGCUCUUCCGGCAGCCCGGGUGUAGCUGCUCGCGCACGUACUCGUACGUCCAGAAGUAGACGCCGUGCGAGGGGGCGUCCCGCAGCACGGUGAUGCCUAACCCGCGGUAUAUCCCCCGCCACCCCUGCGACCGGAUUAUGCUCCUCGCCACGUCCACGGGGCCGCGCCGGCUUUCGGAUGUCUUGCCUUUCUGGUCUAGUUGUAGCCGUAUUUUCAGUAGCUCCACCGGGCUCAGGAGGAGGCUCUGUGUGGCCCCCGUCCCGAUCCCGCCCAGGGCCACGGCUUUGUAUGACGGUGGAUCGUCGCCGCCGUCCAAAGCUCGUGAUAGGAUUGCGUAUGUUUGGAAAGCAAGGGCGUUCUGCAUCCCAUUUUCACAAGACUUUUAAUAACUUGCAAUUAUAACAUCACCAAUUUCUAAUGUCUUACAAUUUUGUGUAUGUCCAUCAUGUUUCACUAUUAAUCAUGUAUCAUUAUAUUAUUAUUUUUAUAUAUAAAAAUAGUAAAUAUUAUGAAUUAUAUUAAUUUUUAUACAAAAAAAUCAGUAAAAUUUUAAAAAUACAUAGUGUACCCUAAGUUUAAAUUUAUCAACCUAUUAUUAGCUAAUAAAAGUAAAAUUAAAUUAUACAAAUAAUUAUACACCUUAACUGGAUUAAAUAAAUCCUAGUUAAUAAUCACAAAAUUAAACUAAAGUAUACAAAAUUAAAAUUGGAACAAAAAUCUGCAAGAAAAUUAAUAAAGAAUUGAAAAUGUGACAUAAAAUGAGAAACAAAAUUGUGGUACAUUGGAUCUCAAUUGCCAAAAGCGGGUAAACAAAUUUUAAAAGAUGGUGUAAUAGCUGUAAUGUUUAAAAACUGCCAAAAUGGUGGAAUUAAAAUUUUCAAAUUCAGGUCAAAUUUGUUACUUAUGUUUAUGCCUAGCUUUGUUAAUUUGUACUGGUCUAAAUUUUUUGGCUCAGACAAAUAAUUUCCAGCAAAUCAAUCUAGAGUUUUUCCCCUUCUAAGAAAUACAAACUUGGCGUAUUUCUUGCAGGCCAACAGAUUCAUAUAUAGAGGUCAUGGUUAAUGUUCCAAAAAUAUCAUAUUAUAGCAUGAUUUAUAAAAUCAGCCUCCAUAGAUUUUAAAUAACUUUCAUGCCUGUCCCCAAGGGGACACCGAGCGGUGCGCACUGGCGGAGCUAGGGGUGGGGCAGGGGGUCACUGGCCCCCCCUGGGAUUUUCAAAAAUACUAGGGUAUUUUCGUAAUUUUAUAUUAAAAAUAAAAAAUAUAUAAUUUUAUCAACAUCAUUAUCUUGUUGAGCUAUUUUAUAAUGUAAUUGAUAUGUAAGCUUUCGAGUUACGACAUUUAGAAUAAGUAAACAUAUAAUUAAUUUAUACUUAUCAUGUUUGGAUUGGAUUCUAGAGAUUUAUUUUUUGAAUUUUAUAUUGAAAGUUACUUUGCCUUACAAAGUUUCAUGGGAUUUUGGAAAAUAAAAUCACGGACUAUUUUGAAUUUAUAAUUUUAAUGUCUUUUUAGUUUGGCGAAUUAAAUCAUUAUUUUUUCAAGUUUUGCAAUUUCGUCCCCCAAUUUUUUUCGAUCGCUAGAGCAUCGAAUUGGAGCUUACAUGGAUUAGUAAAGACGAUGACAUUUUUGUGAGGCCUAAACGACAUCGUUUCGUACCAUUUCAAUUAAAAAUUUCUCCAAAUUAGAAAGAGAUUGUAUCCUGUAUUUGCACUCUAUAUAAUAUUCAAUAUUUAGUAAUUUUAUUGCAAAAUACAUCGUAAAAUGAAUAUGAGCUUGAAAAUCUGUUAAAAUGUGUUUUUGUAAUUUAAAUAAUAUUAUAAUUAUGUUAUUGGUUCAUUUAUUUUUAAUUUAAUUUAAUUUAAUUUAAUUUUUAUUUUUUAAUUUAAUUAUUAAUUUUCUUCUAAAAAUUUUUUUGGACCCCCCUGAAUCGAAAGUCUGGCUCCGCCCCUGGCGGUGCGACUCCUGUCUACGAACGGUGAAGUCCAGGGAUCAAACCCCACCGCUCCCCCUACCCCAAAAAAAUAAAUAAUAAUAAUAAUAAUAAUAACUUUCAUGCUCAAUAAUAAUAACAACAAAAAAUAUAUGAGAAUGUUGAUGAAUUACAUGAAUGUUGAGAAGGUACCUGGAAAGUUACAGAAGCCAAGGGAGCAAACAUCCCUCGGUAGAGGCUGCACGGCCCCUCUUUCACCACGGCACGGCGGAGAAUGGCGAAAGCCGAUUCUCCGGCCGAAUGCUGCUGCCGGAUUCUCAGCGUGUCGAGCGGGUAUCCGGCCAGAACACCGGCGGUUCCGCCCACUCCGCCGGCCACAAAUUCUCUUCCCCAAUUGCUCGCCACAAACUCCCGCCACAAAUCCAUUAUACCUUCAAAUAUAUUUUAUUGGAGAAAAAGAAAAACAAUCUCCUUUUCUUCUCCUUUUUACUUUACAAUGAAACUUUCUUUUUAUUGUUCUAGAAUACAAAAUUUUCAGACUUCACACAUACAACACAUCCUCUUAAUGCGUAGAUCGAGCAGAAAGAAGAUUAUGGCUGUUUAUUUUUAUUUUUUUGAAUGUGUGAAGAUUGAAUGAUGGUGAAUUUUGGUUUGUGCAGAGAUGUUAAGAGAAGAAACAGCGGGAGCCUCGGAACUAACUUUGGUUUCCUUAAAAGAGAAGACGCAUAUUCCAUAUUUGUUUGGAUCAGAUCACCUGCUUAUGUCGGAAAAUAGUUAAUAAAUUUUCUCAUAAAUAUGGUUUAUUUUAUUUUAUUUUACUGUAUCCUAAGUUUAAUUUUAUUUGUUUCACUAUCCCACAAAGAGUUUCUAAAAUUUUUAUUAGUGUGGUGAGACAGGAGUCGUAUUUAAUCAAUCAUGUGUUUUACCGUAAGACCCACACAAACUAAAUUUGAUUUGCUUUUUGUUUUUGAGGAUAAAAUUUGAUUUGUUAUUGUAAAAAGAGAGUUAUAUUGUUUACCUUCUCUCUCUCUCUCUCUCUUUUUUUUUUUUUAAAUAUGUUAUUGUUCAUUUAUGCCAAUCUCUAUGUUCUUUUUUUUUUUUCGAGAAAAGGCCAGUCUCUUAAGUCUUAAGUAGAUUUCUUUACCUUUAGAAUAAUAUUCUAUACUUUUUAUGACAAUGUGCAAACGAUCGUAGUUAGUGUUAAGGAGUGGUAAUUAAUUAAUCCGACUAAAAGAAAAAAAAACCGCCUAGAAAAAAAUUAAUAAUUAAUUAGUGGGUAAUUAUAGUAUUUGAUUAAAACCACCGAUUAAUAAUUAGCCUCAAAAAAAAAAACCCACCGAUUAAUAUUUAUUAAGUUGUCUCCCGAAAGUUUGGGCCACACCCAAAUUCAUUCUUUAUCUGAAACAAAAUUAUAGUUUUUGGGCUUAAAUUCUAAAAUAACUUGUGUAGCCCAAUGCAAUAUGAAAUUUUUUCAAAUUUAUCUUUUCUUUUUCCCGAGAAAAAUCUUGUUUAUCUUUAAAACCUUACGCCUUGAGACUUCAGUGAUAGCUCAGGCUUCAGAAGCCAAAAAUGGCGCUCUCAACGGCCAAAUUCACCGAACUACAGCCGCACCUCUUGUCCACCUUCUCAUUCCCCCGCCGCAAACCGCCGAGGUUCCACCGACUCCUCUUCAAACCUCUCUCUUCCUUUCCCCGUCCCACCAAAUUACCCCAUACGCCUGCCGGAAAGCCCAGCAUUCCGCAGAAGCCGUCGUCUGCCUGGAUAAAAAAAUGGCCAUCUCCUCCACCUGCGCCGCCGCCGCGCUCGAAAGCCGCUCCGAAGAAGCCCGAACAGAAACCGGAAACACUUCGUGGAGGUACCACGGCGAUUGAUCGAAUUGUUCUCCGCCUGCGGAAUUUAGGUUUAGGCUCCGACGACGAGGAGGAGGAAGGAGGAGAGUUAGGUUUGGAUUUGGAGAAUGAUAAUUUGAAUCCGAUUGAUUCGAGAAAUGUUGAAUGUGGAGAUGAGAAAUUGGGAGAUUUGCUGAAAAGAGAUUGGGUUAGACCGGACACGAUUCUGGUGGAAGACGAGGGUUUUGAAUCUGAGGCGCUGUUGCCGUGGGAGAGGGGCGUGGCUGAGGAUGAAGAAAUGGUGGAGCAUAAAGUUGGACUGAAGAAGAGGACAAUGCGGGCGCCUUCGUUGGCGGAGCUGACGAUAGAAGAUGAAGAGUUGAGGAGGCUGCGGAGAAUGGGGAUGACUUUGAGGGAGAGGGUGAGCGUUGCCAAGGCCGGAAUUACGGCUGCAGUUCUGGAGAAGAUACAUGAGAAAUGGAGGCGGUGUGAGCUCGUGAGGUUGAAGUUUCAUGAAGAAUUGGCGCAUGAUAUGAAGACUGCGCAUGAAAUAGUUGAGGUUGGUGAGUUUUAGUGUUGUUUUCUUAUUAAUUUAAUCUCAAAUCACAUUUACUUAAAUAGUUAGUUCAUUUUGCCAUUUACAUAAGAAUUGUGUCCAUGAUUCUUGUUCCUGUUUCUUUAUGGCGGGUAACGGGUUCGUUAAAUUUCUCCACAUAAAACUUAAUCAUACUAAUGUCAUUCAUUUUAUCGAAGGCUUGCAAAAAAUUGAGUCUUGAAGGAUAAGAGUGAAGAUGAUUUGAGCUUAUAUUGAUAUAAACUAUAAUCCAUGCAUGUGAGUACAUUCCCGUAAGAAACUAGAAAUAUAUUAAUCCCUCCCUGCUUGUUUUUUCAUUUCAGUAAGAAAGAAUGUAGUGAGGUUAUAAAAGCUGUCUGCAUUUUCUCUGAUCAGCGCCGAACAGGGGGGCUAGUCACUUGGAGAUCGGGAAGUGUUAUGGUGGUAUAUAGAGGAGCUAACUACGAAGGCCCUACAUUAAAGCCACAGAGAGAAAACAGUGAACACGAUACUCUUUUUGUCCCUGAUGUUUCCUCCCCUCACGAUUCAGCCACAAAAAGUAGUGAUGGAAAGACUCAGGUUCUUGAGAAGUCCAAUCCAGUUACACCUAAUCGUGUCAAGAACAUAACAGAAGAGGAAAUUGAGUACAAUAGUCUAUUAGAUGGUUUGGGUCCACGGUUUGAAGAUUGGUGGGGAACUGGGGUGCUCCCUGUUGAUGCUGAUCAACUCCCUCCGAAUAUUCCUGGAUAUAAGACACCAUUUAGGCUUCUUCCUACUGGAAUGCGUCCACGACUAACCAAUGCUGAGAUGACCAACUUACGGAAGCUUGCUAAGUCGCUUCCUUGCCAUUUUGCCCUUGGUAAUUUACCGCUUGUAUGUUCUUCCAAUUAGUAAAGUAUGCUCUGAUUUGUUUUCUCUGUUUAAUCUUGCAGGAAGAAAUAGAAAUCAUCAAGGUUUAGCUAGAUCCAUAGUUAAGCUAUGGGAGAAAAGUUUAAUUGUGAAAAUUGCCGUGAAGCGUGGAAUCCAGAACACAAAUAACAAAAUUAUGUCUGAGGAACUGAAGGUAUGCAGAUCCGAAGGCAUAUUGUUUGCAUUGAGUAACCUAUGUAACAACGGUAUAUAAGAAAAAUGUUUCUAUUGGUUCAUUCCAGUGGAUAACAUAUUACAAAAACUCAGUCGGUAACAUUUCAUUACGUUUCUUUUCAUUUUGUUUGUCAUUUCUCUUCACUUUUCCUCUCUACUGGUAUGGUGUAGGCAUUAACAGGGGGAGUCUUACUUUUGAGAAACAAAUAUUUCAUUGUUAUGUACCGCGGGAAGGAUUUUCUUCCCCCCACUGUGGCUAGUGCCUUGGCAGAGAGACAGGAAAUGACAAAGCAAAUACAAGAUGUUGAAGAAAAAGUCAGGGGAGGACCUGUACCGCUGCCAGUAUCUGAAGAGAAGGGAGCUUUGGCAGGCACUUUGGCAGAGUUUUAUGAGGCUCAGGCUCGAUGGGGAACAGAAGUAUCCACUGAAGAACAUAAAAAGAUGAUAGAAGAGGCAUCCAGAGCCAAACAUGAGAGAGUAAUCAGGCGACUUGAACACAAACUCGCUACUGUAAGUGUGUCUUAUUUGCUGAAUGAUCAAUUGAUGUCAUUGUGGAUUAUUCUCUCUAGCAUGUGAUCUGAUCAACUUAAUGCAAUUACAGGCUCAGGCAAAGAAGCUCAAAGCAGAGAAACUGCUAUCUAAAAUAGUGGAUUCUUGGCUUCCAGUAGAUCCUUCAGAUGACCAGGAGACAAUUACAGAUGAAGAAAGAGUUAUGUUUCGUAAGGUUGGAUUACGAAUGAAACCAUACUUGCCACUCGGUGGGUUUUCUUUUUCUCAGAGUUCAAUUAUCAAAAUUAAAACUUUAUCUUGUGAAGUAUAUAUUUUAAAUAUGGAAGAGGAGAAUCAUGUUUUAUUUGUUGCAAUCUCCAGGCAUUCGUGGUGUUUUUGAUGGUGUUAUUGAGAACAUGCAUCUGCACUGGAAACAUAGAGAAGUUGUAAAGUUAAUAUCAAAGGAAAAGGAACUUGCAUUUGCUGAAGAAACUGCAAGACUUUUGGAAUAUGAGAGUGGUGGUAUACUAGUGUCAAUCGACAGGGUUCCAAAAGGUUAUUGCUUGAUUUACUACCGUGGCAAGAAUUAUCGCCGUCCUAUCACUAUAAGACCGAGAAACCUUCUGACAAAAGCAAAAGCACUGAAGCGUAGAAUGGCCUUGCAACGAUACGAAGUUAGUCAUCCACUAAUAUUCCCGUUUUAAUAUGAACUUAAUCUAAUAAUCUAUUUGAAAUGUGAGCUCUAAGUUGAAUGAUUUCGCUGAUGAUUAUGUAUGCUAAUUUAUGUCUUACAUUGUUGUGUAGGCUCUUAGUGAGCACAUAUCUGAAGUGGAGAAAACAAUUGAGCAAACCAAGAAGGAGAUAGUAAGUUGUGCUGCUUUUGGUUGCUGUUUAAAAAUAUCAAUGAAAUUACAAUUUUCUAUUUAUGUUCGAGCAUACAAGGUUGGCCAUUAAUGUUAUUUCAUAUUUUAAUUAACUAAAGAAUCUCUAUCGGUACUCCUUCACCUUCUUGUUAAGGACUCUCUGUUUCUUGAACCUAUUUAAUUCAUAGGAACUUCACUUCUUUGCAAAAUUUGUUCUAUGGGAUUGCUCGCCAUACUUAUUAUCUGCUAUAGUUUUGUACUAUCCUUUUCUUUUUUACAUCUCCUAAUCCGGAAAUGUAGUUUUUGGUGUGGUAGAUGAUCUUUUCUGCAGAUCGUCCCUGAAAGAAUUACCUUUCAUCUCUCAAAUUAUGGAUUGAAAUGAUAAGAUGUUGUCAUUCUGAUAUAAUGACCAAUGAUUGAAUCUUAAUGAGAUGUGUGCCUUUUCUGAUAUGGUAUUUCUUAUGUUUCUGAGAUUUAAUUCUCUUUAUUCCAUUAGGGCAAUCCUGCAAAACUGGAGAAAAGCGAUCUUUGGAAGUCAGAGGACCAUGGCCAGUUCUCUAAUGUCUCAGAAGUGAGUGAAGUAAGCUAGUUGACUUAUCUUAUUUGCUUUAGAGUACGUGGAUGAUUAUGAGCACUUAAACCAAAGCGCCCCAUCGAGAAUCGAAGAUUGUUAACAAUGUUUUAUGUUUUACCCACACUCACAAUACAACACAGAAUAUGAAUGAUGUUUUUUCCACGUGUACAGAUCGAGGAUGAAGGCUCGGAAGGUGAUGAAGACGAGGAAGAGUGGGAGUUGGAGGAUGACGAAGAAGAUUCAGAUCUAUCGAGUCUUGAUGCUUAGAUUUUUCACCUAAUAAAGCUGGCUAAACCAAAAAUGGUGCCGUGCUUACCCGUUAUAUAGGAGCUCUGCACAAUGAAUUGAAGAUGGAAGAGUGGAGCUAAACAAGAAAGAAUCAUCCAUACAUUUACUAACGCCUUAUGAGAGAACUGCCACUUCCAAAUUUUUCUUGGAGGAUUUUUGCGUUUGGGAGGCAUUGUACAGCGAUUAUCGAUCAACAGCUGUAAGCUUAAAGAGUGAGAGCACCGUAUAAUGCUUCAAACUAAGAAGAUGAACUUCAGUCAAUGUAAUGUAUAGUUGUUGUGUACAACUACUUGUAAGUAAUACAAUCAAUUAGCUUGAUUUCACGUGACUACUUACAACUACUUGUAAGUAAUUGGAAUUAUCAAUUUUUCAAGUCAGUGGCAUCAUUUUAGCAAUAAAACACCGAUGUUCCAACUCGUUCAUCUAAACCCACAUACAGGGAAACUGCCAAUAGACAUCAUUUUACUAUAUCUGAAAAUUGACAGAGAUAAACUCCAGAUACAAGUAUAUGCCCAUUCUCACCAUCAAAAUUAAAUGCAAGCAUACAUAGAGAGGAAAACAUAUAGCUCAUUGAGUUAGGCAAUCUAAGCCCUAAGCUACAUUGCAAGUCAUAAAAAUAAAAGAUCACUCAUCGUUGGAACUAGCUCAGAAGUAUAGAGGCUGCAGCAUUUGCAACAGAUGUGGAUGCUCGAAACAGAAUAUAGUGCAUCGCAAUAGAUCACUCAUUGACGAAGCAUUUGCUGCAAAUGAAGAACUUGGUUUCUUUGUUCCGCCGGGAGCAUAUUGAUCUGUUCCGGAGUGAGACUCAUAACCUGCUGAAGUAAUGCCUUUUCGAACUCCGGAGUCAACUGCAGGAUUACAAAGAUUGGAUCAUCUAUGACUAUCUGUAGUAGAAGUUCCUGCCUUAGUUUUACUCGAGAGAUCAGAAUAAAUAUAUAGAAGAUGAAGAAUUAAUACCGAUGGUGGUCGAGGAAGCUGGUUGCUGGGACCUGCUUGACCGGGAAACCCUGGUUGUGGUCCUAAAAGCUGGCCCAUCGUAUUUUCAGGAAGGCCAGGUAUCCAAUUGGAUCCCCUGUCUGUUUGCUUGGAGCUUCCAACUUGAUUGAAAUCCAUUCCUAAGUGAGGACUUCCUGCCUGAAGCCACAAGAAUAUGCAAGCUUAAGUUAUCAAUCCAAAUUGCCACAAUCAUCAUGUGCACACAUGUGCUGAAGAGUUGAACAAGUAUCAAAGCCACAUUUAAAGGGUCACGGUACUCUUUGUUGCAUGAAUUUAAUUGCUGGAUUGCUCUAGAAAAAACAUUCAUAACCACCGAAAUGUCUUUGGAACACUAGAAAGUAGAAAGUUAGUCAUUGUUACUUACUAACGAUUAGUAAUUAUUAGUUAAACAUGGAAUAAAAGUCAGAUAGGUUCAAGAAUCCACAGUAAAAGCCAGCAGAAACAGCCAGAUCGUAUCAAAUCAAACAAGAAACACUCUGGCAAUCUUAUAUAUGGCAUCGAGCCAAUUGCAGGCCAAACCUGAUACAUUGAUUGAGACAAAGGUUGAUUUGGAAGUGGCAACUGUCCCUGUGGAAAUGAAGGCCCCAUACCGGAAGGAGGCUUUGAACCUGACUGAAAUUAGAUAAUUUCAACAUUUUCAAAGACAAAGACAGGUUGCAUGUUUGAAAGAAAUAACUGAAAGUACCUACACCAAACUCACAUGAAACAUGUGUUGUGAAUGAUGCAUCUGUGGUCCACUAGGAUGCUGAAAGCCCGGAUUUGGUCCCAUUUGAGCUUGAGCCUGGUGAGGAAAGCCUGGCAUUGGUGGUCUUGGUUGUGGUGGCAGUGGUGGUUGGAGGGGUAAAUACUGGCUGCCUGUAUUUGGCAGAGGUUGUUGUGAUUGCGUGAGCAAUGAAGGCAUAGGGAGAUGAUGAAGGGAGGGUGACUGGGAAGCUGUAUGCUGCGGCAAUUGAGUCAAACUAGAAACUUGAGAGGGCUGUGGUACAGACAUUGGCAUCGACUGAGCACUAAUAUGUCCCUUAGGUUGCUGUGUUUGGUGUAAGGGAUGUGAGGGCAUGGACUGGGGUUGAGGGUUUGGAGGAGGAUGAGGUUGGGAGGGAGGAUGUGAUGCCAUAGGUUGGUUAAGCUGCUGUUUUCUUAUUUGAUUCUGACCAAUCGGACCAGAAACUGGUGCUGCCGCCUGAAUGGUGGGCUGCUGAUUUGAGAUAGCUGAUGGCUGUGGAUUCUGAGAUACUGCAGAUGAAAUGGCCGGUGACUAAACAAAGCCAAAGUGAUUAGACAAUUUUCACAAAGCCAAAGUGAUUAGAAAAAUUUUCAGGAAUAAAAUAAGCAAGAAAGGUAUCAAUGAGACAAAAGAGCAUACUGCUUGUGAGGACUGCACCAUUCCAAGCAUGAUUUGUGCCUAAUGAAAGAAAUGAUUCAAUGGAAUAAAAGUCAGAAAAAAAUAAUUAUUUUAUCCUGAAAAAUCUAUCACAGAUCGUCGAAGAGUAUUGGGGAACUUAAAAAAUUGAAAGAUGAGUGGAUGAUUCAUAAAAUUCCAUGGUUUCAGAACUAUUUAAGAACAUGAAAUAUGCACAAGUCAAGGAAAAGGUUCCAUGAAACUGACAGAAAAUAUUACAUAAUGAGGUCAAUAAGUAGAAUUAUCGAGUUCAUAUCAAGAAAAAGUCUCCUGGACCAGUAAUAGCCACAUCUGACUAGCAGACAUUCACUUGUGAUUACUCCAAUCAUUUCAGCAUAUGUGAUGAGCUGAAAGAGGAUCUCAGAUUCCAUCCAAACAGCCUGUGACUUUUCACAUGAUAUACUGGGAUUUAUCAACACUAAGCAAACUAUAAAUCUACAAAAUAAUUACAAUGAUUGAAUAGAAAAUAGGUGCAAGAAGAGAGGGUUACAGACUAACAGAGAAUUUCAUGUCACCUAAAAAAGGGCAAAAGUAAAUUUAAUCGUUUUCAUAUCUCAUAUCGUAUAUCUCAAGAACAAGAGAGCAAAAGGAUCAAAAAUUGAAUAAUAUCACAAGAACACGCUCACUAACAACUUAUAUAAGGCAUGCGAUCCAUCUAGUAUAAUAAACACAGCCCCAAAUCAUUCACGUAAAAUUAUCUCUUCCGCGUCUACAGGACAAACUCAGCACCAUACCCAAGCAAAUCAAGAAUAGCGAGCCUCAUUUGUCAUUACAAGCUAUAAAGAUUAAUUGCUUUCUUAACAAUACAUCAAGUGUAAAACUUUCUGGGUUGUGUUUUUCUUAUUUCUCAAUAACUUCUAGAAAUUAAAAUAAGAAUACUUAUUUUAUUACUAUUUUUCGAGGCUUUACUUAUUAUGAGUUUACAAUAACUUACAUGAAAACCCAACACAAAAGUAAAGGAAAUGCAAUGGAAUAUUUCAUGGCAUAAGGUCUAAUCCAAAACUAAAACAAAAUAAAAUUAUCACGCGAAGACAACCCUAAAUUACAGGAUACCUGAAAAAGAGCUUUAGUCAAAGCUGGAUUCUGGAUUAGAAUUUGCCUCGCUUGUUGCUUGUUCUGCUCUAUCAAUGCCUGCACACACCAAAGUUCAAAUUUCAAACUAAAAUCGUCCAAUUUCGAGUUCUAAAAUAACGAAUUACGUAUAUAGCCGAACAACGAAAAUUGAUCGAUAAGCCCGAGUUGUCUGGGUACGAAUAAACAUUGUAUAACGGAAGUCAAUCAGAACCUUCAUCUGACACAUGAUGUCGUAGAGCUGGUUUUUGGACAUUCCGGCGAGGCUCGGUGGAACUCCGUCGCCGGAGAUUUGCUUUCCCGCCAUUCUUCUUUCCGCACCCAAAAGUUUUUUUAACAGAGAAACCAAGCGUCCUGGAAGAAAUACCCAAUAUUGAUGUCUAAUUAGGGCUUGUUUGGCUGAAUAGAUUUUCUUGAUUUAGAAGUUCACUAAAUCGAAAAGAAAAAAAAAAUUGCUAUUUUAUUCAUGAGGUCCGAUCCGAUCUAUAAAUUUGGGCUUUUGUGUAACCCAUUAGAAAGUUUGGGCCCGGCCCACACUCAAAACAGCUCGUAUUGACUAUUUUUGGGACUCUCUCCGUCUCUUUGUCUCUCUCUCUCUCUCUCUCUAUCGCACAAUUGGGUGAGUGGAUAUUUGGUGGGCAUCGGAGUAGAAGGUACAGUAGACUACUCCAUCUGCACGCGCCGCCGCGGAUGGCGUACUCGUCCUUAUUCCUCUGUCUACCAGCUUCUACUCCCAAAGCGGAGUUGAUAGCUUCAACCUUGUCGACAUUUAUGACUUCUUCUACAAUUACAAACGCCCUUUCUCCGCUGCCGUCUUUCCCGAGUAGCCGCAGCUCAAUCGUGGCGCGUGGCCGCCGGAGAUCAUUGAUUGUGGGUAUGGCACCUGAAGAAGAGAAGAUGACUCGCCGUUCGCCUCUUGAUUUCCCCAUCGUUAGUUUGUCUCUCUCUCCCUUUUUUUUGUGAACUUUUCAUCGAACGCUUUUCUCGUGUGUCGUGUGUCUGCCCCUCUUUUC
rnacentral:lncRNA from 1 species